GAAGAUAUGGCUCAGUAGUUAAGAGCACUGGUGCUCUUUCAGAAGACCUGGGUUCAAUUCCCAGCACCCACA
rfam:Neotoma lepida isolate 417 scaffold_47654, whole genome shotgun sequence.